rnacentral:tRNA from 1 species
GCCUCCGUGGUAUAGUGGUUCUGUACCAGAGAGUUCUGUGUGGGUCAGCACACGGAUCGUGGGUUCGAAUCCCGCCAGAGGCA